rnacentral:pre_miRNA from 1 species
CACAAAACCAGCCGAGUGCUGACUCGAGCUGCCCGUGCAAAACUGGAACCACUGCGUUGUUUUGUUCGUUCGGCUCGAGUUAGAAACCGGUGUGGACACAA